GAUGAAGAACGUAGCGAAAUGCGAUAAGUAAUGUGAAUUGCAGAAUUCAGUGAAUCAUCGAGUCUUUGAACGCACAUUGCGCCCCCUGGUAUUCCGGGGGGCAUGCCUGUCCGAGCGUCAUUGCCGCCCUCAAGCACGGCUUGUGUGUUGGGCCCCCGCCCCCCGGCUUCGGGGGGCGGGCCCGAAAGGCAGCGGCGGCACCGCGUCCGGUCCUCGAGCGUAUGGGGCUUCGUCACCCGCUCUGUAGGCCCGGCCGGCGCCCGCCGGCGACCCCAAUCGAUCUUUCCAGGUUGACCUCGGAUCAGGUAGGGAUACCCGCUGAACUUAAGCAUAUCAAUAAGCGGAGGA
rnacentral:misc_RNA from 1 species